GUAGGUGGCAAGCGUUGUCCGGAAUUAUUGGGGCGUAAAGCGCGCGCAGGCGGUUUUUUAAGUCUGAUGUGAAAGCCCACGGGCUCAACCGUGGAGGGUCAUUGGAAACUGGAGAACUUGAGUACAGAAGAGGAAAGCAGAAUUCCACGUGUAGCGGUGAAAUGCGUAGAGAUGUGGAGGAACACCAGUGGCGAAGGCGGCUUUCUGGUCUGUAACUGACGCUGAGGCGCGAAAGCGUGGGGAGCAAACAGGAUUAGAUACCCUGGUAGUCCACGCCGUAAACGAUGAGUGCUAAGUGUUAGGGGGUUUCCGCCCCUUAGUGCUGCAGCUAACGCAUUAAGCACUCCGCCUGGGGAGUACGGCCGCAAAGGCUG
rnacentral:rRNA from 1 species